GAGUAAUGUCUGGGAAACUGCCUGAUGGAGGGGGGAUAACUACUGGAAACGGUAGCUAAUACCGCAUAACGUCGCAAGACCAAAGAGGGGGACCUUCGGGCCUCUUGCCAUCGGAUGUGCCCAGAUGGGAUUAGCUAGUAGGUGGGGUAACGGGCUCACCUAGGCGACGAUCCCUAGCUGGUCUGAGAGGAUGACCAGCCACACUGGAACUGAGACACGGUCCAGACUCCUACGGGAGGCAGCAUG
rnacentral:rRNA from 1 species